rnacentral:misc_RNA from 1 species
GAUGAAGAACGCAGCGAAAUGCGAUAAGUAGUGUGAAUUGCAGAAUUCAGUGAAUCAUCGAAUCUUUGGACGCACAUUGCGCCCUUUGGUAUUCCUUAGGGCAUGCCUGUUCGAGCGUCAUUUAAACCUUCAAGCUAAGCUUGGUGUUGGGUGACUGUCCGCUUCACGGCGGACUCGCCUCAAAAUUAUUGGCGGCCGGUACAUUGGCUUCGAGCGCAGCAGAAACGCGAACUCGGGCCCGUCGUAUUGGCUCCCAGAAGCUAUCUUCACAAUUUUGACCUCGGAUCAGGUAGGGAUACCCGCUGAACUUAAGCAUAUCAAUAAGCGGAGGA